GACGAACGCGGCGGCGUGCCUAAUACAUGCAAGUCGAGCGGACAGAUGGGAGCUUGCUCCCUGAUGUUAGCGGCGGACGGGUGAGUAACACGUGGGUAACCUGCCUGUAAGACUGGGAUAACUCCGGGAAGCCGGGGCUAAUACCGGAUGGUUGUUUGAACCGCAUGGUUCAAACAUAAAAGGUGGCUUCGGCUACCACUUACAGAUGGACCCGCGGCGCAUUAGCUAGUUGGUGAGGUAACGGCUCACCAAGGCAACGAUGCGUAGCCGACCUGAGAGGGUGAUCGGCCACACUGGGACUGAGACACGGCCCAGACUCCUACGGGAGGCAGCAGUAGGGAAUCUUCCGCAAUGGACGAAAGUCUGACGGAGCAACGCCGCGUGAGUGAUGAAGGUUUUCGGAUCGUAAAGCUCUGUUGUUAGGGAAGAACAAGUACC
rnacentral:rRNA from 1 species